UUUUAUCGAUAUUUCAAAUAUUCUACUUUACUGUGUAUUAUCAUCUGGAGAAAUUCAGGGGAAAAACACCGAACGUGACAUUAUCACGGGAUCAGCUAGUGAUUCUCACGUGCCAACACGACGGUUGGCCAAUAAUAUAAACACAUACCCUUUGAGUUCAUGCGAGUGGAUCAUACUUUAGAAGUGAAAAGCGCAGUUAGUUAUUCUGCUCUGAGGAUCCGAAGAAAAACCCUGAAAAAUCUAAAAGCUAUUUUAAAUCCUUCGAUUUGAAGCAAUCUUUUCAUACAAACAAACAAGGAAUCCAUUAAGAGAAGACAAAUAGCGAAAAGAUGGUCAAUACUGUUGCAAACACGAAGGCAUCAGUCAAAUCCGCCCCCAAAGCCGUUCAAGCUGUUGAAUCAAACGGCGACGUAGGAAAGUCAUCAAAGGAAAUACACGAAGCCAAAGUCCAAGAUACUGAAAAAGUCAGCUUCGAAGUGAUGGGUAUUCCCCAAAUCACAACACUCGAAGGGUUUUUGGAAAUGCACAUUUGCUAAAGGACUUCCAAAAGUCUUCCAUAAAAAUUAGGAAUGGAAUGGAAUGGAUUCAGGAGUUCCGGACUUUCAAAAUCUAGCAGUUGAAACAUCAGAGACUAUCAAUCUGGAUUUAUGCACUGAACAAGGAAGAUUUCCAAUCACCUUUAUUUGUAAAUAGAAAGAAAAGUUUUAUAAGACAAUCAAUUUUAUUCCAUGCAGGCUAUUUCAGUCCAGCAAUUAUGCUCACAUGAUAGAAUGCUUUAUUUAACCACUCAUAAAGAUGGGCUUUUAUUUUCUAAAUUGUAUAAAAUUUAUAAUAGCAGAUAUCAGAGUUCCACUAGAUUGCUUUCAAACAGUUGUUUCAUUUAAUUAGGUCAGACAUUUCAUUAUAUUGACCCAAAUAUAUCGACCCCUUCACAUUUCCCUUGGCCAUCUUAAAAGGUAGCCUUGCCUUUGCAUUUAAGUGAGAAGAAUAGUGAGCUUGCAGUGAUAUAGAUGUGAAGAAGGUCUCUAUCAUUGCAAGCUCACUUAUCAUUUCACUUCAAUGCAAAGUCACAGCUACCUUUCAAGAUGGCGCAGGGAACUGUGAAAGGGACUAUUGUUUGAAGGCAAUAGAGGAUAACUCUAAUAUCUGCUUUCAAGAUUGAUAUAUAGAGAGAGAGAGUAGACCCUCCCUAUAGGGGGAAGGGUUGCAAAGCAAUUGUACAUAGGCUAAAAUAUAAGUUAUCUGUACAAACCCUUGUCAUUCGUAAAUAGUUCAUAGUAAAUAGUUAAUUUUAGGAGUUGUAUAGAAUUAGAAUAAAUAAAUAGUUAAAUUUUAA
rnacentral:misc_RNA from 1 species